GACGAACGCUGGCGGCGUGCCUAAUACAUGCAAGUCGUGCGGACCUUUUAAAAGCUUGCUUUUAAAAGGUUAGCGGCGGACGGGUGAGUAACACGUGGGCAACCUGCCUGUAAGACUGGGAUAACGCCGGGAAACCGGGGCUAAUACCAGAUCGUUUUUUCCUCCGCAUGGAGGAAAAAGGAAAGGCGGCUUCGGCUGCCACUUACAGAUGGGCCCGCGGCGCAUUAGCUAGUUGGCGGGGUAACGGCCCACCAAGGCAACGAUGCGUAGCCGACCUGAGGGGGUGAUCGGCCACAUUGGGACUGAGACACGGCCCAAACUCCUACGGGAGGGAGCAGUAGGGAAUCUUCCGCAAUGGACGGAAGUCUGACGGAGCAACGCCGCGUGAGUGAAGAAGGCCUUCGGGUCGUAAAACUCUGUUGCCGGGGAAGAACAAGUGCCGUUCGAACAGGGCGGCGCCUUGACGGUACCCGGCCAGAAAGCCACGGCUAACUACGUG
rnacentral:rRNA from 1 species